rnacentral:rRNA from 1 species
UUUUAUGAGAGUUUGAUCCUGGCUCAGGACGAACGCUGGCGGCGUGCCUAAUACAUGCAAGUCGAACGCUUCUUUUUCCACCGGAGCUUGCUCCACCGGAAAAAGAGGAGUGGCGAACGGGUGAGUAACACGUGGGUAACCUGCCCAUCAGAAGGGGAUAACACUUGGAAACAGGUGCUAAUACCGUAUAACAAUCGAAACCGCAUGGUUUUGAUUUGAAAGGCGCUUUCGGGUGUCGCUGAUGGAUGGACCCGCGGUGCAUUAGCUAGUUGGUGAGGUAACGGCUCACCAAGGCCACGAUGCAUAGCCGACCUGAGAGGGUGAUCGGCCACAUUGGGACUGAGACACGGCCCAAACUCCUACGGGAGGCAGCAGUAGGGAAUCUUCGGCAAUGGACGAAAGUCUGACCGAGCAACGCCGCGUGAGUGAAGAAGGUUUUCGGAUCGUAACACUCUGUUGUUAGAGAAGACCAAGGAUGAGAGUCAGGGGACAUCCCUUUACUGUAUCUAACCAGAAAGCCACGGCUAACUACGUGCCAGCAGCCGC